CGCCGACCCGGCGACAGGCCAGGCGCGAGCCAGGGUUGCAGGGCUCCGGCGGCCCAGCUGAGGCGCCACGUGCCUGGUGGUGCCCGGCGGAGGUCUGUGUGGCUGGGGGGAGGGGGCCGGGAGAAGGGGGCCUCGGGGCUGGGGCGCCGCCGGCGCGCAUGCUCCCGCCGCACCUGCUCCCGCGGGUGCGCCCCGAAGCACGGCAGACUCCGGGUCCGGUCUCAAGUGCGCGGCAGUGGAGGGGCGGCUGCGGUUUACUCCCGAGGAGGUCUCUAGAAGGAGCCCCGAAACCUCGCUCCCGCCGGCCUGCCCCGCCCCCUGCGCCGCGUCGAGGAACGCUCACCCCGGCUUCACUCCUGCUCUCGGGGUUCACCUGCCUCCUCUGGAGUCCUCUGCGUCCCGCGACUCCUCCCAAUUUUGCGACCUCCUCUCCUCAAGGUGCCCCUUUACCGCUCUAGAGUUUGCUCCACGCGCGUCCGCAGAAGCCAUUUCAAAAUGAAAGAAGACUGUUUUCACCUGGACCCAACAAAUGUUCAGGAAGCCUGUUCCAGCUGCUGGAGACGAAGAAGGAAAGUGAAGGUACUAAUGGCAUACCCAUGCCGUCUCCAAGGUGAGAGACAGAGAAAAUGCAAAAUAGAAAAUUCAGAGGUGGAAGAUUAAUCUUAGACAUGGCACAGGAUUUUCUACGGAGUCCUACUAAAAGACAGGUAAGUAGCUCUUGGUGCCACGAUUGUUAUAAACUCUUAUAGUUGCUACUGUGUGAAUGGAUGUAACAUUUUAUUGUGCAUAAGCUAUCUUCUUUACAAAAUAAAACAAACAAACAAAUCAACAGCUAUUACCAUUGUAAAAUUUUAACAUAGUCCAGACUGGGUGUAUGGAUUAGGGAGAAAUAUUGUUUCCCAGUUCAUCACGUGGUCACCUGCCUGGAGGAUGAACCAUGUCAGAAGAGAAAAGGCAGGUAGUUUCUAAUCACAAUACAUGGGCACAGACCUGUCUUUUUAUGCAUAGAAUCAUGUGCUGUCGAUAAAACCCCUGUGGUGUUGUUUUAUUCAUGAAUACAGGUCAACUUAGGCAAUUUUGAAGGAAAGAAUAAGAAUCCAAGGAAGCCACCUCAAUUCAUUUCCCUCCAAAUCCUCUUCUUAUCUUUGCUAAAUAGUGUUUUUUUUUAUUUUCCAUGGAGGAAAUCAGGAAAUGGCAUAUUGUGCUCUGGCAAAUUAAUUUCCAUGUGUCAAUGUAGUUUUCACAGUGGGCAUU